rnacentral:rRNA from 1 species
GAGGAAUAUUGGUCAAUGGGCGAAAGCCUGAACCAGCCAUGCCGCGUGCAGGAAGAAUGUCCUAUGGAUUGUAAACUGCUUUUAUUUGGGAAUAAACCCCUCUACGUGUAGAGGGCUGAAGGUACCAAAUGAAUAAGCACCGGCUAACUCCGUGCCAGCAGCCGCGGUAAUACGGAGGGUGCAAGCGUUAUCCGGAAUUAUUGGGUUUAAAGGGUCCGCAGGCGGACAUAUAAGUCAGUGGUGAAAGCCUACAGCUUAACUGUAGAACUGCCAUUGAUACUGUAUGUCUUGAAUUUGAUCGAAGUGGGCGGAAUGUGUAAUGUAGCGGUGAAAUGCUUAGAUAUUACACAGAACACCGAUAGCGAAGGCAGCUCACUAGGUUAUAAUUGACGCUCAUGGACGAAAGCGUGGGGAGCGAACAGG